rnacentral:lncRNA from 10 species
GAAAAGACAACCUGAAACAAAGGCUCUGGUCAGAACUACACAGAAAUACCAGAGGCCCAGGGAGAGUCACCUCCCAGCCAGAGGAUCCACUGGGCUUCCACUGUGGAGCUGGAUUACAGAGGAGCUUUUUGUUAGGCAGUGGACUGGGGGAGACAUUUGGAAGCAAGGCCCAGGAGUGGUCAGUGCUGGCCUGGGGCAGGACAGAGCCGACUUCCCUCAGUUCACACAGACAUCUCAGAGAAGCACUGGCUGGGGUCCCUCCCCACGACUGCCAUCCGCAGGGGCACGGGGACAAGAGUGAGAGUAGCCUCUGCUGCUGCUUGCAAAGCCCUGGAAAAAGCCAGACCCCGGCAGAGUCAAGAGUCAUAAGGAGCAGGGGCGUCCCGUGGCAGCCCCGUCCAUCCCUGUCACUCUGCCUGUCACCUCCUGGGGCUUCUCUGGAAGAUCUGAGGCCUCCACCCAGAGCCCCACCCAGACUGGUUCUCCUGGAAAUGCCAGCUCCUCCCUCCCUGCUCCGGGGACCUGCCUUUCCCUGAACAGGCGGCUCUGUCUCAGCAAGAUGGCAAGGAAGGAAACCCCGUCCCUGCUCCACCACUGGCGCACCUUGAGGACCUAAUGCCGGGCACAGAGGGACAGGCGCUGCAGGACCCCGUGUAUGCGGCUCCUAGAGUUCUCAGACCCCUGGAGACAGGAAGAAGAGUGGGGGUGCCGGGGGACAGGAGUCAGCGUUUCAUGGGGACAGAGAUUCAGCUUGGGAAGAUGGAAAGUUCUGCGGACGAUGGAGGUGAUGGCUGCACAUCAGUGCGAACGUGCUCCAUGCCACCGAACUGUGCGCUUGAAGACGGCUGAGAUGGUGCAUUUUAUGUUAUGUUAGAUGAACUUUACCACAAUUUUUUAAAAAAUCAAGAAGUGAAAAUUUAGACCAUGAUCCCCAAGUGAAAGCAGAUGAAAAUCGGAGGAGGGGGCCGGGCGCAGUGGCUCACGCCUGUAAUCCCAGCACUUUGGGAGGCCGAGGCGGGCAGAUCACGAGGUCA